rnacentral:rRNA from 1 species
CCUACGGGAGGCAGCAGUGGGGAAUCUUGCGCAAUGGGCGAAAGCCUGACGCAGCAACGCCGCGUGCGGGAAGAAGGCCUUCGGGUUGUAAACCGCUUUCAGCAGGAACGAAAAUGACGGUACCUGCAGAAGAAGGUGCGGCCAACUAUGUGCCAGCAGCCGCGGUGAUACAUAGGCACCAAGCGUUGUCCGGAUUUAUUGGGCGUAAAGAGCUCGUAGGCGGUUCAGUCAGUCGGGUGUGAAAACUCUGGGCUUAACCCAGAGCCUGCACCCGAUACUGCUGUGACUAGAGUUCGGUAGGGGAGCGGGGAAUUCCUGGUGUAGCGGUGAAAUGCGCAGAUAUCAGGAGGAACACCGAUGGCGAAGGCACCGCUCUGGGCCGAAACUGACGCUGAGGAGCGAAAGCAUGGGUAGCAAACAGGAUUAGAUACCCUGGUAGUCCAUGCCGUAAACGUUGGGCACUAGGUGUGGGUUCCAAUCAACGGAAUCCGCGCCGUCGCUAACGCAUUAAGUGCCCCGCCUGGGGAGUACGGUCGCAAGACUAAAACUUAAUGAAUUGACGG